rnacentral:rRNA from 1 species
GAUGAACGCUGGCGGCGUGCCUAAUACAUGCAAGUCGAGCGAACGGACGAGAAGCUUGCUUCUCUGAUGUUAGGGGCGGACGGGGGAGGAAUACGUGGAUAACCUACCUAUAAGACUUGGAUAACUUCGGGAAACCGGAGCUAAUACCGGAGAAUAUUUUGAACCGCAUGGUUCAAAAGUGAAAGACGGUCUUGCUGUCACUGAGAGAUGGAUCCGCGCUGCAUUAGCUAGUUGGUAAGGUAACGGCUUACCAAGGCAACGAUGCAUAGCCGACCUGAGAGGGUGGGCGGCCGCACUGGAACUGAGACACGGUCCGGACUCCUACGGGAGGCAGCAGUAGGGAAUCUUCCGCGCUGGGCGAAAGCCUGACGGAGCCACGCCGCGUGAGUGAUGAAGGUCUUCGGAUCGUAUGACUCUGUUAUUCGCGAAGAACAUAUGUGUACGUAACUGUGCACAUCUUGACGGUACCUAAUCAGAAAGCCCCGGCUAACUACGUG